AGUGAACGCUGGCGGUAGGCCUAACACAUGCAAGUCGAACGGCAGCACAGUAAGAGCUUGCUCUUACGGGUGGCGAGUGGCGGACGGGUGAGGAAUACAUCGGAAUCUACUUUUUCGUGGGGGAUAACGUAGGGAAACUUAGGCUAAUACCGCAUACGACCUACGGGUGAAAGCAGGGGAUCUUCGCACCUUGCGCGAUUGAAUGAGCCGAUGUCGGAUUAGCUAGUUGGCGGGGUAAAGGCCCACCAAGGCGACGAUCCGUAGCUGGUCUGAGAGGAUGAUCAGCCACACUGGAACUGAGACACGGUCCAGACUCCUACGGGAGGCAGCAGUGGGGAAUAUUGGACAAUGGGCGCAAGCCUGAUCCAGCCAUACCGCGUGGGUGAAGAAGGCCUUCGGGUUGUAAAGCCCUUUUGUUGGGAAAGAAAAGCAGCAGGCUAAUACCCCGCUGUUCUGACGGUACCCAAAGAAUAAGCACCGGCUAACUUCGUG
rnacentral:rRNA from 1 species